rnacentral:misc_RNA from 1 species
AAGGAUCAUUACCAAAUACUGCUUGCUUGGAUGGAUUCGUCUGUUCUGCAAACAAACCCCCUCUGCGUACCUGUACCUGUUGCUUCCGUCAGCCAGUGGAUGCCUCUCGGGGCGUCCCCUCCGGUGCCUGAUCAGUUCAUGAUCGGCUGGGGAGUUGCUGGCGGUGAGCCCCAUACCAAACACGUGUCUUAUCUCUGCCUAGUCUGAGCUUUGAUGCUAAAAACAAAACAAGUUAAAACUUUCAACAACGGAUCUCUUGGUUCUC